rnacentral:rRNA from 1 species
CCUACGGGUGGCAGCAGUGGGGAAUAUUGGACAAUGGGCGAAAGCCUGAUCCAGCCAUGCCGCGUGUGUGAAGAAGGCCUUCGGGUUGUAAAGCACUUUCAGUGGGGAAGAAAGCCUUGGGGCUAAUACCCUCGAGGAAGGACAUCACCCACAGAAGAAGCACCGGCUAACUCCGUGCCAGCAGCCGCGGUAAUACGGAGGGUGCGAGCGUUAAUCGGAAUUACUGGGCGUAAAGCGCGCGUAGGCGGUCUGAUAAGCCGGUUGUGAAAGCCCCGGGCUCAGCCUGGGAACGGCAUCCGGAACUGUCAGGCUAGAGUGCAGGAGAGGAAGGUAGAAUUCCCGGUGUAGCGGUGAAAUGCGUAGAGAUCGGGAGGAAUACCAGUGGCGAAGGCGGCCUUCUGGACUGACACUGACGCUGAGGUGCGAAAGCGUGGGUAGCAAACAGGAUUAGAUACCCCGGUAGUC